UACGUAGGGGGCAAGCGUUGUCCGGAUUUACUGGGUGUAAAGGGCGUGCAGCCGGAGAAACAAGUCAGAUGUGAAAUCCACGGGCUCAACCCGUGAACUGCAUUUGAAACUGUUUCCCUUGAGUGUCGGAGAGGUAAUCGGAAUUCCUUGUGUAGCGGUGAAAUGCGUAGAUAUAAGGAAGAACACCAGUGGCGAAGGCGGAUUACUGGACGAUAACUGACGGUGAGGCGCGAAAGCGUGGGGAGCAAACAGG
rnacentral:rRNA from 1 species